rnacentral:lncRNA from 1 species
CUGAGCUAGAGAACACAGAGGCAUCAGAGGAACCUGCUGGCAACAUCACCGCUGCUUCUGCCCAGUCCAACCUGACUGAUGUGCCCAGUUACUCCAAGGGGCAAAACACAUCUUGUCCUGAUUCUUCUGGGGAAACUCAUGACAACUCCACCACAAUGGCGUCAACUCAACCAUGGCCUCCAUCAGGAACCACUCCAGACUCCAGUAGAAGUGAGCCCAGCAGUUCCUCUCCUCCAGUGACGUUGCAUCCCACCACCACUACAGCCCAGGCUCCUGUGACCAAUGAUGCUGUGAAGACAUCUGUGAGGAUCCAGGCCAUUCCUGAACUGGAGAACACAACCCCGACCCAUGGUUUCAGUACAAAAUCUGCAGGUUCCCGCAACACCCCUGUCUUGGUUGCAGUCCCUGCUGAGAGCUUGCCCCAUCCUGACCAGACUCUGCAGACCACCAGCAGGCCUUCAGUGUCUACUUCUGGAAGUUUCAACCUGGUUUAUGGUGGAAACCCUGUUCAUGUGACCGUAAACCAGAACCCAGCAGGUCUUCAUGACCUGUCAGCUGAGGUCGAGACUCCUGAAACUAUGACUGUUUAUGACAACUCCACCAACUCGAAGCAGGAAGUCCUCUUGGUUCCUGGUGGGGUGAACAUCUUGGACGUCAAAGGAGGGCCUCCCUCAGGAACCACUCCAGACUCCAGUAGAAGUGAGUCCAGCACUUCCUCUCCUCCAGUGACGUUGCAUCCCACCACCCCUACAGCCCAGGCUCCUGGUGAGAACCGAUGUAGGAAUAAUCAGGUGAAUGUGGCCUACAUGAACGUGUUAAUGCUGCUGAUCUUCUCUGCAGUGACCAGUGAUGCUGUGA